rnacentral:rRNA from 1 species
AAUAGCGUAUAUUAAAGUUGUUGCAGUUAAAAAGCUCGUAGUUGAACCUUGGGUCUGGCUGGCCGGUCCGCCUCACCGCGAGUACUGGUCCGGCUGGACCUUUCCUUCUGGGGAACCCCAUGGCCUUCACUGGCCGUGGCGGGGAACCAGGACUUUUACUGUGAAAAAAUUAGAGUGUUCAAAGCAGGCCUUUGCUCGAAUACAUUAGCAUGGAAUAAUAGAAUAGGACGUGUGGUUCUAUUUUGUUGGUUUCUAGGACCGCCGUAAUGAUUAAUAGGGAUAGUCGGGGGCGUCAGUAUUCAGCUGUCAGAGGUGAAAUUCUUGGAUUUGCUGAAGACUAACUACUGCGAAAGCAUUCGCCAAGGAUGUUUUCAUUAAUCAGGGAACGAAAGUUAGGGGAUCGAAGACGAUCAGAUACCGUCGUAGUCUUAACCAUAAACUAUGCCGACUAGGGAUCGGACGGUGUUUCUAUUAUGACCCGUUCGGCACCUUACGAGAAAUCAAAGUUUUUGGGUUCUGGGGGGAGUAUGGUCGCAAGGCUGAAACUUAAAGAAAUUGACGGAAGGG